GAUGAACGCUGGCGGCGUGCUUAACACAUGCAAGUCGAACGGUGAACUUGGGAGCUUGCUCUCGGGGGAUCAGUGGCGAACGGGUGAGUAACACGUGAGUAACCUGCCCUUGACUCUGGGAUAAGCACUGGAAACGGUGUCUAAUACCGGAUACGAGCUUCAGCCGCAUGGCUAGGAGCUGGAAAGAAUUUCGGUCAAGGAUGGACUCGCGGCCUAUCAGGUAGUUGGUGAGGUAAAGGCUCACCAAGCCGACGACGGGUAGCCGGCCUGAGAGGGUGACCGGCCACACUGGGACUGAGACACGGCCCAGACUCCUACGGGAGGCAGCAGUGGGGAAUAUUGCACAAUGGGCGCAAGCCUGAUGCAGCAACGCCGCGUGAGGGACGACGGCCUUCGGGUUGUAAACCUCUUUUAGUAGGGAAGAAGCGAAAGUGACGGUA
rnacentral:rRNA from 1 species